CCUACGGGAGGCAGCAGUGAGGAAUAUUGGUCAAUGGACGCGAGUCUGAACCAGCCAAGUAGCGUGAAGGAUGACUGCCCUAUGGGUUGUAAACUUCUUUUAUAAGGAAUAAAACGAGGCACGUGUGCCUUUUUGCAUGUACUUUAUGAAUAAGGAUCGGCUAACUCCGGGCCAGCAGCCGCGGUAAUACGGAGGAUCCGAGCGUUAUCCGGAUUUAUUGGGGUUGAAGGGAGCGUAGAUGGGUUGUUAAGUCAGUUGUGAAAGUUUGCGGCUCAACCGUAAAAUUGCAAUUGAUACUGGCAGUCUUGAGUACAGUUGAGGUAGGCGGAAUUCGUGGUGUAGCGGUGAAAUGCUUAGAUAUCACGAAGAACCCCGAUUGCGAAGGCAGCUUACUAAACUGUGACUGACAUUGAUGCUCGAAAGUGUGGGUAUCAAACAGGAUUAGAUACCCCAGUAGUC
rnacentral:rRNA from 1 species